rnacentral:rRNA from 1 species
AUACGGAGGGUCCAAGCGUUAUCCGGAAUCAUUGGGUUUAAAGGGUCCGCAGGCGGUCAAUUAAGUCAGAGGUGAAAGCCCAUCGCUCAACGAUGGAACUGCCUUUGAUACUGGUUGACUUGAGUUAUACGGAAGUAGAUAGAAUAAGUAGUGUAGCGGUGAAAUGCAUAGAUAUUACUUAGAAUACCGAUUGCGAAGGCAGUCUACUACGUAUAUACUGACGCUGAGGGACGAAAGCGUGGGGAGCGAACAGGAGUAGAAACCCCAGUAGUCC